CACGUAGGGCGCAAGCGUUGUCCGGAAUUAUUGGGCGUAAAGAGCUCGUAGGCAGUCUGUUGCGUCGGCUGUGAAAACCCGAGGCUCAACCUCGGGCCUGCAGCCGAUACGGGCAGACUAGAGUUCGGCAGGGGAGACUGGAAUUCCUGGUGUAGCGGUGAAAUGCGCAGAUAUCAGGAGGAACACCAAUGGCGAAGGCAGCUCGCUGGGACGGUACUGACGCUGAGGCGCGAAAGCCAGGGGAGCAAACGGG
rnacentral:rRNA from 1 species